rnacentral:rRNA from 1 species
CCCUUAGACGUUCUGGGCCGCACGCGCGCUACACUGACCAGUGCAACAAGCAUCCGUCCUUGGCCGACAGGCCCGGGCAAUCUUUGAACGCUGGUCGUGAUGGGGAUAGACUUUUGCAAUUUUUGGUCUUCAACGAGGAAUUCCUAGUAAACGCAAGUCAUCAACUUGCAUUGAUUACGUCCCUGCCCUUUGUACACACCGCCCGUCGCACCUACCGAUUGAAUGGUCCGGUGAAGCCUCCGGAUUGGCGCGCACCUCGGUGCCGCCGAGAAGUUGGCUAAACCUUACCAUUUAGAGGAAGGUGAAGUCGUAACAA